rnacentral:rRNA from 1 species
CGAGCCAGCCAGCGGCCCGCAGCAGUUCCCCACGCCCCCUCCCUCCUAAACCCGGGCAUGGGCAGCCCGGCCUCCCCAUGCCCCCACCUCAUCUCUUAGCGCCGCCGGAGGGAGCUCCUCCCCAUGCCCUCCACCUCAUCUCUUACCGCCGCCAGAGAGAGCUCCGCUGCUCUCUUGCCGGACGCCGCUCCGGUUUCCCCGAGGCGACGGAAAUCAUGAACGGGGACACACCAUACGGCCAGGGGCCUCUCGAUCGCUGCUUGGGUCAUUGGUGGCGGUAUUGGCGUUCAAGGAUGGGGCGGCGAUGCCGUUGGAGUCUUGGAAAAGCAGCUCGGGCAGAGGAAGAGGACGCGACCGGUGUCGGAGGAGCUGGGCAGGGGACGCCUGAUCUACUGCAGGUACGUGAACAGGGUUGCCGGUUGACACGCCGGCCUCCUCCAUCAGCCUCUCUUGGCCCCGCUCCAGCUCCGGCCUCCUCCAUCAGCCUCUCUUGGCCCCGCUCCAGCUCCGGCCCCUCGCUUGCCGCCUCCUGCGACGCUGGUGUUCAGCUCGCCUGCGAGGUGUUCUAUCAAUUGACCAAACCGAGCCAAGUCUGAGUCCAGUACUACACCAGAAGCGACGUCGGCCGAACAUGCGAAGAGGAAGAGGCCACAGAAGGAUUCUUGCGUCCCAAAUGUCAGUUUCAGGUUCACGGCCAGGAUGGUGGAUUCGUUCUUCGAUGGCCAGACUAUCCAUGUCAAGCGGCGGCAUGAGAAGAGCUCCGGCAAGGUCGUCAUGUGCCGGUGCAUCUCACCUUAAGCACAUGCUGCAGAGUCCGGCUGCUGUGGCUCCGUUCCCUCUCAGUUCUAUUUUUCUUUACUCUCCCUUGUUUACUGUUUGCCUUAAUCUUGAUUUGUUUUGUCGGUUCAUGCAGUUCAUUAGUUCUUUCUUUGCUGGAUGUUUGGCGCGCUGGCACUGAUGCCUGUUCUGGAUGGAUUCAAGUGAUGCUGGGACAUGUACAGAGAUGGAGCUCAUUAUAUAUGGAGACAGGUUUUGAAUUGGGGUGUGCUGUUUCCUACCUGAUGGUGUAGACAUUACAUGAGGGAUCUCCAUAUAAGUAGAAUGUCACACAUAUGAAUGUUGUAUCUUGGAUGCUUCAUAGAAAAGAAGCCAAGAGACCGAUUCAUCAGCUGUGUAUCAUUUUUACGUCCGACAUGUUAUCUCUUUCUCUAUAAGUUGGGCCUGCUCUUCAAAAAGGCUGAGAAUGUGACUAUAUAAGAAGCGUAGUUAAGUGUGUUCGGGGAGUAUACGUAAGAAAAAAAAUAGACCGCUAGGAGUAAAAACUCUCUUGCUGCCUACAAAGGUAGGCACACAUGCAGAAUGUACACAAAUUUGCAAAAACUAUAACAAAACAAACACAUACUGAACCAA